rnacentral:rRNA from 1 species
AAUAUUGGACAAUGGGGGCAACCCUGAUCCAGCCAUGCCGCGUGUGUGAAGGAGGUCUUCGGAUUGUAAAGCACUUUCAGUUGGGAGGAAGGGCUUUAGGUUAAUACCCUGAAGUUUUGACGUUACCAACAGUAUAAGACCCGGCUAACUCUUUGCCUGCAGCCGAGGUAAUACAGAGGGUGCAAGCGUUAAUCGGAAUUACUGGGCGUAAAGCGCGCGUAGGUGAUACAGUAAGAUAGGUGGGAAAUCCCCGGGCUUAACCUGGGAACUGCUUUCAUAACUGCUGAGCUAGAGUACGGUAGAGGGUAGUGGAAUUUCCUGUGUAGCGGUGAAAUGCGUAGAUAUAGGAAGGAACACCAGUGGCGAAGGCGACUACCUGGACUGAUACUGACACUGAGGUGCGAAAGCGUGGGGAGCAAACA